ACAGUCGGUCAAGGUCGUUCAAUCGGUGAUAAACACUGUUGCCAAAAUUUAGCGUUCUGUCAGCUCGCAACACAUCGCUAGAAAAUACGCCAUGAGGGAAAGUCAUUGUCGGAGUGAUGUACCACCUACUUCCCUGUUGUGUAUUUAACCCUGUGGCCUCCGUAGUUGUGCUCCCAGUACAUGCAGUAUAAAGCUGGAAGCCAUGACUGCCGGAACAAUACAAAAUCUCUCCAACCAACUGAGCUAGCUGGGCGGCUGGACCCAACCCACACACACUACUACACCCGACCAUCAUCAUAAUCAUCCAUUAACUUUUAAGGCAAAUGAAGGCCUUCCUGCCAUUUACCUCUGCCACCAUUUAAGUAAACCUAGGUGGAAAAGUGCCCCCAGUGUGAGGCUCAAAUCCACGACCGCUGGAACACAAGCACGACAAAGCCUGUGAUAGUUCAACAAUCGAAAAAAGCAUCCUGAAUACCUUAUGAGUUGGUGUUUACUACCAGAUACAGAGCCAAAGCUGCUUCACAUAUGUCGGAAAUCACGCAACUUUCUGAGGAUCAACACAAAUGAGGAAAAUUGAGGAAUUAUAUAUAUAUUGUAUACAAAAACUAUUGUGUCAUUACAAAGUGAAGGAUUUUGAAGAAAACUAUAAAAAGUGCUAAAAGAAAUUGAACAUGAUUGAUGUUUAUGUUAGUUUGAUUGCUUCAUCUGUAAGAUAUAAUCAAUGGAUGGAAUUGUACAUAACAAUGUCAUAGCAUAUUAAUUUGCAUCUCUAAAUUGAACAUGUUUCUUGCUGAAGGCAAAUAGUUAUAUGGAAUUCAGUUAACAACAGCUGGAUAAUGAUGACACUAUUUUGAACCCCCUUUUAAACAUCCUGUGUUUAUUUCAAUUUGAUUAAAUACAUUUAGACUCUGUUGUAGAUCUAUAUCUGUAGAAAUAAAAUGUA